rnacentral:rRNA from 1 species
UACGUAGGGUGCGAGCGUUAAUCGGAAUUACUGGGCGUAAAGGGCGCGUAGGCGGUCCCGUCAGUCCCUUGUGAAAUCCCCCGGCUCAACUGGGGAACUGCAAGGGAUACAGCGGGGCUUGAGUUCGGGAGAGGGAAGCGGAAUUCCGGGUGUAGCGGUGAAAUGCGUAGAUAUCUGGAGGAAUACCGGUGGCGAAGGCGGCAUCCUGGACCGGCAUUGACGCUGAGGAGCGAAAGCCAGGGGAGCAAACGGG